rnacentral:tRNA from 1 species
AAUGGGGUGCCUGACAAAAAGGACUAUCUUGAUAGGAUAUCUCAUGUAAAUCAAUUUUACCCCCAUUU